GGAUAGUUCAGUUGGUAGAGCAUGAGAUUCUUAAUCUCAGGGUUGUGAGUUCAAGCCCCAUGUUAGGCA